AACGAACGCUGGCGGCGCGCCUAAUACAUGCAAGUCGAGCGAGAAGGUGUAGCAAUACACUUGUAAAGCGGCGAACGGGUGAGGAAUACAUGGGUAAUCUACCAUCGAGUGGGGAAUAACCAGCCGAAAGGUUGGCUAAUACCGCGUACGCUUCCGAGUCUUCGGGCUUGGAAGGAAAGCCGCACUGUGAGUGCGGCGCUCUUUGAUGAGCUCAUGUCCUAUCAGCUUGUUGGUAGGGUAACGGCCUACCAAGGCUUUGACGGGUAGCUGGUCUGAGAGGACGAUCAGCCACACUGGCACUGCGACACGGGCCAGACUCCUACGGGAGGCAGCAGUAAGGAAUAUUGCGCAAUGGGCGAAAGCCUGACGCAGCGACGCCGCGUGGGGGAUGAAGGUCUUCGGAUUGUAAACCCCUUUCGGGAGGGAGAUGGAGCGAGCAAUCGUUCGGACGGUACCUCCAGAAGCAGCCACGGCCAACUUCGUGCCAGCA
rnacentral:rRNA from 1 species